rnacentral:rRNA from 1 species
GUCGAACGAUACUCUUUAGCUUGCUAGAGAGGAAAGUGGCGCACGGGUGCGUAACGCGUAUGCAACCUACCUUAAUCAGGGGGAUAGCCCGAAGAAAUUCGGAUUAACACCGCAUAAAAUCACAGUACAGCAUUGUACAAUGAUCAAAUAUUUAUAGGAUUAAGAUGGGCAUGCGUGACAUUAGUUAGUUGGCGGGGUAACGGCCCACCAAGACCACGAUGUCUAGGGGAUCUGAGAGGAUGACCCCCCACACUGGUACUGAGACACGGACCAGACUCCUACGGGAGGCAGCAGUAAGGAAUAUUGGUCAAUGGAGGCAACUCUGAACCAGCCAUGCCGCGUGCAGGAAGACAGCCCUCUGGGUCGUAAACUGCUUUUAUUCGGGAAUAAACCUACUUACGUGUAAGUAGCUGAAUGUACCGAAGGAAUAAGGAUCGGCUAACUCCGUGCCAGCAGCCGCGGUAAUACGGAGGAUCCAAGCGUUAUCCGGAUUUAUUGGGUUUAAAGGGUGCGUAGGCGGCUUUUUAAGUCAGGGGUGAAAGACGGUGGCUCAACCAUCGCAGUGCCCUUGAUACUGAAGAGCUUGAAUACAUUAGAGGUAGGCGGAAUGUGACAAGUAGCGGUGAAAUGCAUAGAUAUGUCACAGAACACCGAUUGCGAAGGCAGCUUACUAUGAUGUUAUUGACGCUGAGGCACGAAAGCGUGGGGAUCAAACAGGAUUAGAUACCCUGGUAGUCCACGCCCUAAACGAUGAAUACUCGCUGUUAGCGAUACACAGUUAGCGGCUAAGCGAAAGCGUUAAGUAUUCCACCUGGGGAGUACGGUCGCAAGAUUGAAACUCAAAGGAAUUGACGGGGGCCCGCACAAGCGGAGGAGCAUGUGGUUUAAUUCGAUGAUACGCGAGGAACCUUACCCGGGCUUGAAAGUUAGUGAAUCAUUUAGAGAUAGAUGAGUCCGCAAGGACACGAAACUAGGUGCUGCAUGGCUGUCGUCAGCUCGU